GAUGAACGCUGGCGGCGUGCUUAACACAUGCAAGUCGAACGGUGAACGAGGGAGCUUGCUCCCUCCGGAUCAGUGGCGAACGGGUGAGUAACACGUGAGCAAUCUGCCCUGGACUCUGGGAUAAGCGUUGGAAACGACGUCUAAUACCGGAUACGAGGCGUGGGGGCAUCCCCAACGCCUGGAAAGAACUUCGGUCCAGGAUGAGCUCGCGGCCUAUCAGGUAGUUGGUGAGGUAACGGCUCACCAAGCCUACGACGGGUAGCCGGCCUGGGAGGGUGACCGGCCACACUGGGACUGAGACACGGCCCAGACUCCUACGGGAGGCAGCAGUGGGGAAUAUUGCACAAUGGGCGCAAGCCUGAUGCAGCAACGCCGCGUGAGGGACGACGGCCUUCGGGUUGUAAACCUCUUUUAGCAGGGAAGAAGCGAAAGUGACGGUACCUGCAGAAAAAGCACCGGCUAACUACGUGCCAGCAGCCGCUGUAAAAC
rnacentral:rRNA from 1 species